rnacentral:rRNA from 1 species
AUGAUGGCAAGUGAUGGCUACAAACAUCUCAAAAGCAGUUGCCCAUCUGCCCUCAAGGAGUUGAUUGCUAGGCUCCUGCCGCCUUAUAUGAAAGCUGCCAAGGAUAUUGUCAUGGCACUUUAG